rnacentral:siRNA from 1 species
GACAAGGUAGUAGUUAGCUCGUGC